rnacentral:lncRNA from 1 species
AGCCUGCUGUUUUGAAGGUGCGUUUAGGUCAUUAAGCAUCCGAGGGCUGAAAGAGCUGCCGGAAGUGAAGAAACCUUCUUUCCUUCUAGACCUUGAGAAAUACUUUAGGGAAGAGCCAGAGGAGGAACAUCCCCAAAUUCCAGAGCUUCCUUUACUUUCUGAAAGUAAGUCCUCAGUCAUCAUACACCUCCACUCUCUCUCUCCACUAAUCUUAAAAUAUAAAGUAGAAAAGCAUGUUUGCCUUGUAGGUUAUAGUGAAAUGAAGUGGGUAAUUUGAUUGUUGAGAUUUAUAGCUCAGCUGCUGGUCUGUGGUCUCAGGAAAGUCAACAGGCUGGAAUUCAAAAAAGGAAUAUUUUUAUUUUGUCCCUUUCUGAAGUCAGAAUGCCAUGAACUUGUAUUAUGCAUCUACUAUGGAUGAGAACCUCUCUCCCCAAAAUAACCUUAAUGUUCAAAACUGGUCCCAGAAAAUGAGGCAUCAUGAGACUGCUUUAGAAGAGAAUCUCUGGCAAUCUGGUUUUGUUCUAUUCAUGUCUCUAAAAAUAGAGGCCACUUAAAGUGUAUUGUCUCAGAGGCUGCCAGCUGCAGUGCUGGGCUAAUAAGAGAGGGCAAGAAAACUUAACUUAGAAAAUACAAGUGAAUGAUCUCUGAAGAUUUGAAACAAGAUGUGCAAAAGAAUACCCAAUUUUUCAGACUAUUCUAAUUUUUUGAGUUUCUAACAAUUUAAAGAAUAAUUUCUGCAUGAAAAUUUCUCCACAAUGGGGAGCCCUAAUGGGAGCACAGGUAACACAAUCUGAUAUUCAGUGAAGCACUUAGAAAGCAUAUGCACACUUCAGGGGAGCUCAUUUAAAAUAAUUAAUGAACAGUGUAAGUUUUCAACCUGCAACAGUCAAAAAAUCAGAACUACAUGGCAUCUGUCUGAGAUCUGUGGCUUCUCAGCUUUCCAAAUCUUCUGACAUCAGAUUCCUUGAACCAUAAAAAUCACUGCGAUAGAAAGGUGUUUCCUUAUGUCCACACUUGUGGAUGUUUGAGCUUCUCCUUUUCUCUUGGUCCCCUGUGGAAAGGGAGAACAGCUGCUCGCCAUUAUUUAUUUAUUUUUGCUUGAAAUUUCACUUAUGAGCAAAGUAUAUCUGUCAUUCCCCAUCACCAUAGUUUCCAGUCUACUUAUCAUCAGUUUCCUUUUAUCUUUUCUUAACGUUUCUUUUUGCUAAAUUUGUAAUAAUUUGCUUGUCAUGAGGGUCAUCUGUGGCUUCUGCUCAUUUCUCUUAAAAAAAUGUGCAGCCAUUAACUAUGGUUCUAAAUAACCUUUAAGUGUAUCUGAUGAGGUUUCCAAUAUAUCCCCCUAUCAUUUUUCAUCAGGAUGAUCCAUCUUUAAUAAUGAAUAUGGGGGGGUAGGUAUCUUGUUCUUGUGAGAUGCAGACUGGGAGCAUCUGGGAAACAGACAUUAACAAAAGAUUCUGAGAACCAGGAUGAAGCUAUAUAGACUGUUCAGACCCAGGGUAAGCACAGAGGAGAAAACCAGGAUGGAGCAAGGAGUCUGAAUUCAUGCAAGAUGAAUACACAGCAGGAGGUAGUGAGUGAGGUGAGAGAGAGACAGGUAAACAGAAGCAAAUUCCAUUCACAAAGGACCUUUCAUACUGUGCAGCCAGAUGAGGAUGUAGAUGAAUUCUGCUUAUAGGCAGGGAGGAUGUGCAUGUUGGGGGUUGGAGGUGAUGACUAGAUCACAAUAUGUAAAACAUGUGAAAAACAUUUACAAAGAAAACAAUUUAAACUAAAUUUCUUAUACUAUAUUUUCUUGUAAUUUCUCCAUGUUUUUUUUUUUUAAAACAUGCUUUCUUUCCCUUUUAAAUUUUCUUUCUUUAGCUUUUCUUCAUUUACCUUUUAAAAAAAGAUUUCCACUCAUGUGCCUUUUCUGCAAGGGAAAACAGUUCUGCCUUUUAAAAUCCUCACAAGCUUAUGAGAGGUACUGAUGCAAACUACUGACUUUACAGAUUACUAUGUGACAUAGGGUACCACAGAUGAGGUUUGGCAAAGGUACCAAGAAAGAAGACGGAUUCUUCCUGGUUGGGGCCUGGGACGGAAAUCAGAGUGAGGGUCACAUCUGAGCUGGGACUUACAGAAUGAGGAGGAGUUCAAAGGAUAAGGAAGGAGACCUGGAAGUCGAUAGGGAAUAAUGUAAGAAAAGACACACUGGAGAUAAAAAAGGGACAGAAUUAAAACAAAUGCCUCCAUGUUGACUGCUAUGGACAACUUCAGAUACUGAGGCAGUUGCUAAGUCUGACACACAAAUAGGGGUUAAAUGGAAUGGGUCAUAUUUAGAAUGUGUUGAGUUUGAGGUAUUCAUGUGCCAUUUAGAAAUAAAGGAGUGGAGGGAGGAAGCAUAUUGUAACAUACCAUAAAUAAUAUCAUGGUCUUCCAUUAGAAGAUCCUGAAAUCAUGCAUGUUCAUGUAGGCGUUUAGAUAUUGAAUGCCUUCCCUUUGUGUAUCUGGCAUUCCCUAAGGUAGAUAUGGAAUGUGCUAGCAUCUAUGCUGGAUGGUGGAGACACAGAGAUAAAAUGUAGAGGCCCAGCCUUCAAAGACCUUGAAAAGUCUAGGUGGGAAAGUAGAUAAGUAAACAUAUAAUCAUGUUUACAACAAGGGCUAUGGUACAGAUAAGCACUGGGUACUGUGGAAACACAUGGAAAUUCAGAGACAUUUUCUCAGGGAAACAAGAUUAGGCCUGAGCUAUAUAUUAAAUGUUAAAUUGCAAUAAGUCAGAUAAGAAAAGAGGGGGGUGUUUCUGGUAAAGAAGUAGCAUAUGCAAAUCUAAGGUGGUUUGAAUAACAUGAUGUGUUAUGGGAGACACAUGCAGUUCCUAAUGGCUGUAUUCUAGAAGGGGCAUGAAGAGAAUUAGGCUAGGUAGGCACAGGGGGCCAGAUCACGGAGGGCCUAGUCUACUAGUCUAAGGACCUUGGCAUUUAUUUAAUCAGAAGUGAGGAGCCACUGAAAUGUUUUAAUUAAUUAUUCUGAAUUACUACAUGUUAUCUCCUCUUCAGAGCUUUUAUAUCUCUUUGUAAUAUUGUUUUAGUGAUUGCCCUAGAGGUGAAUAUUCUUUCCUGUGUCCUUCAGUCCUUGUGAUACCAGGCUUCCAUCUGAAAUCAUUUCCUUUAGUAUGAAGAACUUGCUGCAGUAUUUCUUAUAAUAUAGGUCUAUAUACCAAUAUUUUCUCCAGCUAUUAUGUGUCUGAAAAAUGCAUUAAUUUCAUUUGGACUGUGGGAGAAGAUUUUCACUGGGUUUAAAAUUGUAGAUGGCAAGGUUAUUUUUCUUCCUACUCCUUAAAGAUAACGUAUUUCUUUGCUUCCAUAGUUCCUGUUUAAAAUCCUACUCUUAAUAUUAUUGAUGCUUCUUACUCUGACUGCUUUUAGGACCUUUAUCCAUGGAUUUCAGAGGUUUUAUUGUGAUGGAUUUAAAUACAGUUCUCUGUAUGUUUAUACUCCUUAAGAUUCAUAGACAUUCCUAAAUGCAUCUUUCUUCAACUAUGACCAUUCUCAGAAAUUAUCUUUCUCCUAUAAUAUUUCUAUUUCCCUUCCUGCUGUCUCAUAUUAUUCUAGGAUUGUGAUUACAUGCAUUUUAGAGAGUUUAAUUAUACCUCAAAUCUUUUGAUGCUCUUCUUUUCUUUUUUUCUUGUCUGGCCUUCAGUUUGUAUAUUUUAUGUUACUUUUCUUUGAAUUCCCUAAUUCAAUCUUUUGCCAGCCUAAUCAGUUCCCAAUAUCAGAUUUUAUAUAUGUCUAAAAUUACACACACACACACACACACACACACUUAUUUCUAGAAUGAAAUUUGGAAUUAUACAUGUUUUUAUUUAUUUUGUCCAUCGUUUUUCUGUUCCAUUUAUUUAUUUAUUUAUUUAUUGACAUGGGAUCUUGCUAUGUUGUCUAGCUUGGCCUCCAAUUCCUGGACUUAAGUGAUCCUCCUGCGUCAGUCUCCUACAUGUCUGGGACUAUAGGUGCACAUCACUGCAUAUGACUUUUCUUUUUUUUGCGGGGCGUACCCGUGGAUUGAACUCAGGGACACUCAACCACUGAGCCACAUCCCCAGCCCUAUUUUGCAUUUUGUUUAGAGACAUUGUCUCACUGAGUUGCUUAGCACCUUGCUUUUGCUGAGGCUGGCUUUGAACUCCCAAUCCUCUUGCCUCACCCUCCUGAGCCACUGGAAUUACAGGCAUGCUCCCCUGUGGUCAUGUUUUUAAUAGCUAUUUAAAAGUCCUGAUCUGCUAAACACCAAUAUCUGAAUGGGAACUGGUUCUGUUUCUAACGUGUUUUUCCUUUUUGGUUAUUGUCACAUUUUCCUACUUCUUUGCAAGCCUUAUAAGUUUUAUUUUUAAUUUAUAUAUGACAGCAGAAUGCAUUACAAUUCUUAUUACACAUAUAGAGUGCAAUUUUUCAUAUCUCUGGUUGUAUACAAAGUAUAUUCACACCAAUUUGUGUCUUCUUACAUAUACUUUGGAUAAUAAUAAUCAUCACAUUCCACCAUCAUUUAUGUUAUUUUCUCCUAGCAAGAGUUUACUCUUUCCUUAGUUCAGCAGAGAGGGUAAGUGGCUGAUCACCUUUAUCUGAUUAGGAACUGAGAUGGGUCAGUGCUGAGGUAGAGCUUUAGCUGGCUUAAGCCAUGUUUGAUAUCAAAUUUCUGAUGUAAACCUCUCCCUUUAGUGGUUUAUUACCUUCUAAGUCCAGCGAGACUGUAGGAAAUAUUGCUUUACAUUUCUAGUCCCAUCCACAGUCGCCCACACACUAAAGAACUCAGAGGUUGUCCUGUGGGGAACACUAGCCAAAGCUGUGGUUUGUUUCUAGAUUCCAGCACAUCACACCAACCCACAUAGCCAUCAAGACUCUGUGGAUUUUACUUGUACAUAGAAGAGUCUCUCAGUCUAUGGCAAGUUUGUGUCUUAGCAAUGCUCAAACAUGAUAAAUCCUCAGAGGGAAGACAGUAUUUGGCCAUCUCUGUUCAUCUAGCAAGAGCUCUAUUAUGUUUGGAAUUAUAUUUAAUGUGGUCAUCUUGGCUUCCACAGCCCUUUGAUGGAUUUAAAAAUAUGAUUUGUAAUUUAUCUGUUUUUUUUUUUAUUCUUAUCUAUCUGGUAUAAUGAGAAUGAUGACUCGCCAUUACCUAUCAAUCUUAUCUAGGAACAAAAUUCCUGAUGAAAUAUUUGAAACAGGAGAGUGAUAUGACUAGCUCUGAAUUUUAGAAAGCUUCAGGGAACAAUGUGGUGGAUGGAUGCAUUAUAAGGGGGCCAGACUGAAACCAGCAUAUUAUGCACAGCCAGCUAUAUGCCUCUGACUCAUCACUUGGCCUUUGACUAGAAGUUAAUAUCUGGAUAAAUUACUACACCCUCUCUGGUUUCUUGGAUAUUAUAUUGGGGUAGCGAUACCUGCCUUUGGAGCUAUGUGGGUUAAUUAUGGCCCAAUUACUGACACUAGUCACUCACCAAAUGGUAUGUGUCAUUAUUUUGAAAAUAAGAACUUUGAAAGGAAUCUGAAAAAAUUUAAGGAGAUUGAAUUGAAAGGAUUGUGUGCCGUGAUCAAAGAUGAAGAAAUGCAUGAUUGUUAUUUUUCUAGGUUGGAUAAAUAUUUCAAAGUAAAAAACUAUCAUUGACAGAGGAAAUACAGGAGAAGAAGAUGCUUUAAAGUUAGGAAGUGAGGUCAGUUUUCAGGAUAUGUUGAGAUGGAGAUGCCUGUGGGACAUCUACCAAGAAAAGCUAACACUUGUUCAAGAAACUGGCUAUAGCAGGAAGGAAAGAGAGAGGAAACUGAAGAGCACUUCGAGUCAAGAUAGGAACAUUUUAGAAUGAAUUUUAAGUUCAAUUUUUUCCUUUUGGAUUUUAGAUGCAGUAUAUAGGCAUUCCAGAACAUUGAUUAGUAAGAAGUAAACAGAACUCUAAGGAAUAAAAGGGGCAGGAAAUCGAAGGGGCAGCCUCUACUACCAGGCACGAAGUAAGGUGACCAUGGAAGUCUCACCCACCCCAGGGAUGAGACUGAGGCCUUGUUGGUGAGGGUUUAUCCAUACCACACUGGAUGGAAAAACUACAGAGCAACUGCAGGUGGAAAUUUGCUAGAAAUUGACCAUGGAGGUGCCAAGGAAAACCACCCACAGGGAGGCGUUAUACCUCAGAACUCACUGCAAAGCUCUGUAGGAGUAUGGGGGAGACUGUGCACAGGGCGGCGUCACUCACGUGGUCCUCUCUUUGUCCUUUGGGGAUAUUAUGGAAAGUUUGUCAUGGUGUCGUUCUAGACAGGGAGCACACUCUGCUGACAGGGGAAGUUGCUGGUUGAGUGCUGGAGUCUGAAGCUGGAGGUGCUAUUGCAGGGCCUUGGUGCUGUUGAAGUCCAGUGCUGGAGAAAGGGCACUGAUAACAUUCUCCAGUACUAGCAAAUGGCAUUGUUUCUUUCUUCUUUAUGGCUGAGUAAAACUCCAUUGGGCAUAUAUACCAUGUUUUCUUUAUCCAUUCUUCUGUUGACAGGCACCUGGACUUGUUCCAUAACUUGGUGAUUUUUUGAAUUGCACUGCCAUAAUCAUCGGCAUGCAUGUGCCACCACAGUAUGCUGAUUUUAGUUCUUUUGGAUGAAUUCCAAGGAGUUGAAUAGCUGGGUCAUAUGGUGGUCCCAUUCCUAGUGUUUUCCAAAGUGGUAGUAUUAAUAUGAAGUCCUAUCAACAAUGUUUAGCAUUACUUUCCCUCUUUGUCAUAGCCUACAAUUGUUGCUGUGUAUUAGCAGAUCUCAGAAUUACCAGCUCAGCCCAGAGUUCUUUCCUCCAUUUGAGAUAGGCAUUGUGAAAAGGCAAAACAACAUUAUACAUACAAGGCUUUGUUGGGGCUUGUGCUGGGUGGAACACAAGGAAAAAAAAGUGUACAGGGUAGCAGGUCUCAGAGAGCUCCUUGAGGACCGGAGGAGAAAAGGGGCAGGUUUUGUAGGCAUGGGCACACAGUCAGCAGUUGCACCAAUCUUGGAAUUCUGCAUAUCUUAUGAGAUCUUUGCACUUGACACUGGGGUUUGCACCUGACAUGGCACUCUGUGCUUGUGCAUUGGGUUGUUGGUGGUCAGCUGGCAAAAUACAAUAGAGGUACUUGCUGCCACCACCCCAGGAAGGUCAUGUAUCAGUCAAGUAGAGGCUCAUUACUCAAGCAGGAAAUCAGGGUUGUUGGAAAGCUUGUGGGAGGAGCCCACAGCUCCUGGAUCUUUUUAUUGGCCAAAACAGUUCUUCUAAAGCCACUAGCGAUGGGUGGCAAACUUUCAUGGGGGACUCAGGGCCCUCUUUGCUGUGUCUCACCUUCAGUGCACUCUGGCUAAGGAGCUCAAUAUCAUGCCAGCUGGCAAUGAAGAAAUAUUUAUAAGGGCUCCAAUCUAUUAUCACAGAACAGACAUUGGAGAGUAAAUUUGGUGCUGACAGGCAAUAUUUUGUGACCUCUGGAAUCAUAGUCAUUAUCCCUGCUAAGUUAUAAGGUGAUCAUGGUUUGCUUUGGGGGCAAAUUGAUAUUCUUAAAGGGACUAGAAUGUGGAAGUAAUAUUAGUAUAAAGGUGAAAUUUCAAUCAUAAGACUGGCUUCAAAUCAAAAUUCUACAGCAUGUUUGGGUGACCUUAAGCGGGUCAAUGAAACACUGUGUUCCUCCAUUUAUUUGACUGAAAAUGGGCUACACAUUAAGUACCAUCCUUGUAAGGUUGCUGUGAACAUUACCUGUGCUAACCUGUGUGAAGCCCUAGCACAGAGCCUGAUGCCUUAUAAGAGUGAUAAUUUCAUUUAUUGGCAAUAUUUUUACAUUAUUAUUCCACCAAGCAGCUCUAUGAUAUAUGGAUGAUUAUUGACCCAACUUUCUAUGGGAAGGAUUUGUGGCAUCAAGAGUUUAAAUAACAUUUAUAGGUUCACAGAGACACUACUAGGUGGAGCCUGGAUGAAAAUUCUGAAAGAUGGACUCAGGUGUCUACACUAUUAAUAUUUGCAGAUGCAGCCUCCCCUUUUCAAAGGUGUUCAAAUCAUAUUCCCUAGGCAGCCUAUUCUUGUGCUUGCUUCUAAAACCAGCUAUUGUGCUAUAAUAUUACCUAUUUUUAUCACUUUUAUUUAAAAUUGUUCAUCUCCUUUUCAGAAGGAUGCUGCAGAAUUUUAAAAUUGUUAUUAUAAAAGAACACUUAAAUAAGUCUCAAUUACCAAUAUAUUCUGCCUCCAUGCUAUCAUUACAGAAUCUACCUUAAAUCUUCACACUGCAUUUUAUUCACAUUCAUGCAGGCUCCAUAAUUAUAGUGUGCAGAAGGUUAUUUGGCAAUUGUACAAUGAGAAGCAUUUUGCCAGACACACUUUCAAUGUUCUAAACUAUCACUUUGGAACUUGGGACACUUUUCAAACACUUCCUAAUCCUCAGGUGACUUUUUAGUCUUACCUACUGGGUUUUUAAUGUCCUUUUGUAUUCUCUUCCUAUUCCUUUCAUCUUGAAACGUCUUUUGCGCUCUCUUUAGCUUCCAAGUUGUUCCCAGUAGGUUCUAAACAGCUUGAAACUCCUCUUUGAUAUAUCUUAUUCAAAAACCUGGAAAGUACUUGGAACUGGCUCCAGGUUGGGUUUUGCAAAUAAAUUUCCUCAAAUCCGUUCACAUUGUAUCCGCAAAAUCUUUAAAACUUCCAGUAUAGAGAAAACACAGUAUUAGUGAUACCUGGCAAAUUGUUUAUUGCUGUUUGUUAGGGUUUGGAUGUGAGGUGUCCCCCAAAAGCUCAUGUGUGAGACAAUGCUAGAAUGUUCAGAGGAGAAAUGAUUGGGUUGUAAGAGUGUUAACCCAAUCAGUGAUUUAAUCCCCUGAUAGGGAUUAACUGAGUGGUAAUUGAAUUGGUAGGAUGUGGCUGGAGGAGGUGGGAAAUGGGGCGUGUCUUAGAGGUGUAUAUUUGUAUCUGACAAGUGGAGACCUUUCUGUCUGCUUCCUAAUCAUCAUGCAAGCUUCCCUCCACCACGCUCUUCCGCCAUGAUGUUCAGCCUCACACCUCCAGCCCUGAGAAAUGGAGCUGGCUUUCUAUGGACUCAGACCUCUGAAACUGUGAUCCCUCAAAUAAACUCUUCCUUCUCUGUAAUUGUGCUAGUUGGGUCCUUUAGUCACAGCAGUGAAAAAGCUGACUAAAACACUGUUCUAUUGUUGAUGUUGUCUGUCAAAGACAAAAUGCAUUGGGACCAUUAAAGAGAUGGUUUUAUUCAGGCUGUUGCAAUGGGGAGAAUAUGCAUUAAUGAAGAGACAUCUUGAAUAAAAGAAAUGAGGCUUAAGCUUUUAUGGAAGCCAGAAAAUGAAAAAAAAAAAGUCUGUGAGUCCUUGAGAAUCAAAAAGAAGGAUCAAGAGUGUCUUAUCUGUAAUAUGUGAGAACAGAGGAAUCUUUUGUGGUUAACUCUUUCUGGAACAAAACAAAACAAAACAAACAAACAAACCAAAAACCAAAACAAAACAAAAAAAGAAUUGGGGGCUUUUGUAACCAUCUCAGCUUUCUAGGAGUACAGGACUCAUGUAAAGGAGAACUUUGUCAGCUCCCCUGUCUCCAUUUUGUUCAAGAUGAGUGAAUAUCACUCACUGCUGAACAACCCACAGUUGAUCAUAAAACUCCGGGAUGGGGCAAAAUAGGUCCUCAGAAACAAUAGGUUAGCGAUUCUUGUUGGCAUUGCUCUUGCCAAACCAAUUGAUCCAUCUAUUGUGAGAUGGUGGUUUUGGAUUCUUGAAGAUCCUGGCACAGCAACCUGGAAUCUGGGUAGGGGUCUGGGUAUCAAGAUUUAGUUCUUAGUGAUGUUUUCAGAAAGGAGGAAGAUAAAUUGGAAGAGUUAAGUUUGGAGGGUUGUAGCUAGAUAUGGAAGGAAACUAGAGGAACUGAAAAUUUGACAAUGGUUUAUAAUUUGUGCAAAGUUACAGGCGCUAGUCCAAUUUACAGAUAGGGACUGAAGCCGAUAUUUCCAAGGAGAGGUAAGAAUCAAUUGAAUAAUCACCAGAAUAAACGGAGUUUGCCUAUCCAUUAGUAACCAACUGUGUUAGCUUUGUGAUGCUAUAUCAAACACCUGAGGAAUAUCAAAUUAUAGAGAAAAAAUAUUUAUUUUGGCUCACAGUUUUGGAGGUUUGAGUCCAUCAUUGAUAGUCUUAGUGCCAUUGGGCCUGUCGUAGGCAGAACAUCAUGGUAGGUGUGCAUGGUAGAAGAAGCUGCUCACCUCAUGGUGCUAGCUAGGAAGUAAAGAGAGACAAGAAGAAACUGGGGUCCCCAAUAUCCCCUUCAAGGACAGGUCCCAAUGAUCUAACUUCCUUCCAGUAGUCCCCACCUCCUAAAGACUUGGCCACCUCCCAUGUGCCACAGGCUGGCAACCAAACCUUAAUAUGGGGUUCUUUCCAAACCAUAGCACCCACAAUUUACAAUGAAGGGAAAAAAUAGUUUUAAAAAUAGUGAACUAAGCCAUAAUCUGACAACCUGGAAGGGUGUGCUAGAGACAAUUCAUGGUUUUCCAUGGAAACAUAAUAUUUCCCAUGGUAACUUUUAAAUUAUAGGUGAAAAUUAUACAUACAAGUGUCUAGCAAAAGCCAGUGUCAUAUAUCUUUGCUUUAGUAUAUAAUCUUAAAUCUAGAACCUUGUAAAAAAUAAUUUUGAUUAUGUUAAAGUUAUUCCUUGAACAAAUAAUUAAAAUACAGUAAAAAAAUUAUAAAUAUCUUCAAGAAAGAGAUGAGAGAAUGUUAUAUAUGUCUCAUCCCAGAAAACGUUGGAUUAUUAAAGAUCCAGAGUGAAACAUUUUAGAAGCACAAAUCCUUCAUAUUAUUCUAUAUCUUUGUUCACAUUACACUAAAUCAUCUUUAAAUUUACAAAUAGACACAUACUUACACCAAAGUUUGGGGUCUAUAAAUAAGUCAUUAAUAUGUGAAAACAUAUUUAAAUAGAUUCAAUAAUCCCAAAUAAUCAUUAUUUAACAUUCAUAUGAAGACUAUAAUUUUGAUCAGUCACCACUGUGCCAUCAACCUGGCUCUGUUACCUGUGUUGAUAAUGGUGCAAACUGAGUGACAGAAAGCUUGGUGAUACUGAUCUAGAUUUUAGAUUUAGGAAUUAGAACUUCAGCAUAGGAGUCAGUUGGGAAGGUAACAUCUAAAGCCCCAACCCACUUUCAUUGAGUCGAAUCUGCAUUGUAACAAAACCUCAGCGAUAUUGUCUAAUAAAACUUGAUAGAUGAGGACUUGUCUAGUGGAACUAGAAUACAUUGGAAAAUGUGAAAUAGAAGCUUUUAAGAAUAAUGUAUGCUCAUAGCCUAGCGACAGCUGGUCAUCACAUGCUCUGUUUACAUGGCCUCCAAGUCCCUUGCUGCUAGGGUGUCUUUGUGAGUUUUGCCAUAAUUGCUCAUCUGAUAUAGUUAGUUGCCAAUUAGUGGCUAAGGAAAGAACCAGAAGGUAACAGAUAAAGUGAUUCUCUUGUGUUUAAAUCACCUAAUCGUUUUAUUUUAGUGAAAAUAUUUUGCAAAACUUCAUGAACACCACAUCUUUCAUUUUCAUUGCUUUAAAAACACUUCUUGGUUACCAUUACAAUAAACCUUGUCUGAUCAUCAACUAUAAAAUGAAGUGAAGAGGGUAUGAAUGUCAUGUUUCCCCGGGUAGGAAAGAGUGAAUGUAAAUGGUUACUGAUGACACAGAUGUUGUUGAUUUUAAAGAGUUGGGAUUGGGGUUAAAUAGAAAGAUAUAUAGAUCUAAGACAUGAAUAAAAACAUGCUUUGGUAUUAUUGUAGAGCCCUCAGAUCCCUGAAAUGAAGAAAUUCCAAAGUGUGAAGAAUGAAUGGCAUUCAUUUAUCUGUUCAUUCAUUCAACAGGUGUACUUUGUGAUCCCCUUUCCAUGAACCAGACACAAUGCUGGGUGCUAGGUUGUUUGGUAUACAGGGAAUAGGCAAGGAUUUCACUUUCAAUGAAUGUAUUGUCUAGGGAGACAAGUAGAUAAUAAGUGAUAAAUAAAAGAAGAAGAUAAGUUUGGAUAGUGAUAUGGAUAAGAACCAUGAAGAAAACAAAGCAAGAUAAUGUACUUGAGCAUAACUCCGAGGGUGGGGCAUUGACAAACAUCUCUGACAUUCUAAGCUGGAUUCUAGAAGACAAAGUCCCACAAAGACUUUGGAGACAUAUUAGCCCAAGCCCAGGAAACAGAAGCAUAAAGCCACUGAGGUGGGAAUGAAGUUGAAGUGUUCUAGGGACAGAAAGGUCACUUGUGCUGGGUGAGGAGACUGGUGCAAGAUGAGCUGGGAGCCAUGUCAUGUGGACCCUGCUAAGUGGGCAGGAAAUCUGGUUUACUGUAAGCAUGAAGGGAAGUCUUUAGAGUGUUUAAAGAGGAAUGUGACACAUUGAAUCCAUAUACUGUGGCUCUCCCUAACCCUCCUGAGCAAAACAUUCUCCUGGAUUCUACGUGUUUUGGCCUGGGAGGCAAGUAACUGAAGCUUCCUAAGCUAGCGCCUGAGUAGGAACUUAAUCAACAUAAAUUUUUUAGUAAUUUGUUGAGAUUUAUUUUCUCAUUCCACUUAACUGAUCACUUUUUAUAUAUAAUUUAGUGUUUGUAAUUUCGCAUUCUUUGUCUUUAAGACAUCUCCUAAAAUUGUACAUCUUCAAGUCGAGUAUCAGGAAUCCACCCCUGCAUGUGAACUGUUAGUCUUCUAUUUUUUAACUCACCCCGGCCCGCGCCCCCCCGCCCCCGCCCCCCCCCAAAAGAGGAGUCAUCCAAGGGAGAUUGUUUCUCUCAAAAUCUUACAAGGGCCUAACUGUUCAUUUUUCACUUAAUUGUCCUGAAGCCUAUUCAAUUCUAGUGAAAAUUCAGCUCAUUGAGAGACAAAUCUCAGUAAACAACGAAUUUCUUUCAGAAGUAAUAUACUGAAUUCUACAGAAUAUCUCAGGAGGCCUCAAAGGAUUCAGAAUUCCUCGUGAUUCUGAAGUACUAAUCUGCAGUCAUGGGGGACAGGAUCAACUGCUAAUGUACAUUUUAAAUUCACAUUACCUCAGACUGCAGGUAUUCGGAAGAUGGCAAGUAGGAGCUUUUCAUUUGUUGCUCUGCUUAGAGAAAGUUCUAGUUUUAUUCAUUAUUGACUUAUUGCUAUAAAACAAAUCCACACAGUUCAAAUAGCAGAAGGUUCAAAAAGAAAUUUAAUAAGACGUUUCCCUCCUCCCAUGAUAAGGAACUUUUCAAUUCCCAUUCUCAUUAAUUUCUGAUAACUACCAUUAUGAGUUUCUGUAUAUCUCUCUUAGGGUUUCUGUAUAUAUUUAUGCUUUUAGAUUUUACCUGUUUUCCUUUGGCUUUCUAUUUGUCUGUUAUACUUUUCUUAUCCUUUCAUUUAAAAAUUCCAGUGUCAGCUGAUUUUUAAUGUGUAUUGAGUUUUUCUUUUGAUCCAAUGAAAAAUUCUUUUUUUAAGAAAAUUUGAAAAUUGAGCACAUUUAAAUGUAUUGAUAUGUCAGACAUGGUGGACAUAUUGAUUUUAUUUCUCAGAGUCUUUGUUUUAGUCAGCUUUUGCUCACUGUGAUCAAAAGACCUGACGAGAAUGAUUUUAAGUAGGAAAAGUUUAUUUGGGGCUCUCAGUUUUGGAGGUCUUAAUGCAUAGAUGGCUGGACAGCUGGCUCUAUUCCUUGGGGCGUGAAGUGAGACAGAACAUCAUGGCAGAAGAAUGUGGCAGAGGAAAGCUGUGGGAACAUGGCACUCAGGAAGCAGACAGAGAGCUCUGCUCUGCAAGGACAGAAUAUAAACCCCACAGGCAGGUGUCCAGGGACCUACCUGCUCCAGCCACACUCUACCUACCUAAAGGUACCCCCAUGUUAAUCCCUGUCAGGGGAUUAAUGCAUUAAUGAUUAGGCUGAACCUUUCAUAACUCAAUCACUUCAUCUUUAAACUUUUCUUGCAUUGUCUCACACAUGAGCUUUCGAAAGAUACCUAAUCUAAACCAUACAGCCCUUUAUGCUAUUUAUUGUUUAUAUAUUUUUACAGUUUUCUCUGGGUCUGUAAUUUUCCCUUUGUUUUUAUUUGGAAAGUGUGUGUUUGUUCUAGAGGUUACUUUAAUAUUCUUUGGUUCAUAUAAUUCUCUAGUUCUUUGUUUCUCUAGAAUAGUGACUGUUAGAUACUUGCUGAGUAAUGAUAAAAUGAACAUUUUUUUUAUUCUCCUCCCCAUCUUCUAUAAAAUUUUAUAUGAUAUGAUUAUAUCAUAUCAUUUGUAUUAUAUGAUUUUUAAUUAUAUGACCUUUCUUUAUGCUUAUUUUGUUAAGUUGGUUUAUAUUGCUAUUACUUAUCUGUUUUAAAUGAUGGUCUUUGUCUUUAAUUUAUCAUGAUCUAGGCUGUUUUCUCCGUAACUCUUACGAUUUUUAACUGUAUCAUUUCUACAUUGUUGGGCAUAUAACAUUUACUUUCUAUUUUGUCAUCCUGAACAACACAUUAUUUAGAACUUACGUUUAUUAUUGUUUUGGGGUACUGAGGAUUGAAUCCAGGGGUACUUAAUCACUGAUUCACAUCCUUAGCCCUUUUAAUUUUUUAUUUUGAGACAUGGUCUUAUCUUGCUAAGUUGUUGACUAGACUCAAACUGGUAAUCUUCUUGCCUCAGCCUCCUGAGUCACUGGGAUUAUAGGCAUGCACCACUGCACCCAGCUACAUCUUACUUUUAUUUUUAUAAAUAUUUUGAUAAUUGCCACCUAUUAAUUUUUCUUUCAGAUUUUCCUCAGUCAUUUCUUAGUUUAUCUUUAGUAAUUUUCCCCAAAAUCACUCUUGACAAUGACAGUCCCUGAAUUCCUUGAAUAUUGAAGUCAUUUAUGAUAUUUAGAUUUGAAGAGCUGUUUGGAGAUAUAUAUUUAUAUAUAUAUAUAUAUAUAUAUAUAUAUAUAUAUAUAUAUGUAUAUAUAUAUUUAUAAUUAGGAAAUUCUUUCCCUAAUUAUUCCAUAGGUACUGCUCCACUAUCUUCUGGCGUUGAUUAUUCCUGCGAAGAUGUCUAAUGAAAGAUAGAUACCUUUUAUCCUUUAAGUCACUUGAUCAUUUUUUCUGGCUGCCAAGUGAUUUUUUUUUUAAAGAGAGAGAGAGAGAGAGAGAGAGAAAUUUUUAAUAUUUAUUUUUUAGUUUUCAGUGGACACAACAUCUUUAUAUUAUUUUUUUAAAAGAGAGAGAGAGAGUGUGUGUGUGUGUGUGUGAGAGAGAGAGAGAGAGAGAGAGAGAGAGAGAGAGAGAGAAUUUUUUUAAUAUUUAUUUUUUAGUUAUCGACAGGCACAACAUCUUUGUUUGUAUGUGGUGCCGGGGAUCGAACCCAGGCUGCACGCAUGCUAGGCAAGCACACUACCGCUUGAGCCACAUCCCCAGCCCAUCUUUAUAUUAUUUUUAUGUGGUGCUGAGGAUCGAACCCAGCGCCCCAUGCAUGCCAGGCGAGUGUGCUACCGCUUGAGCCACAUCCCUAACCCCAAUUCUUUAUCUUUAAAUAAUCUUGCUAACCUAUAUCUUCUAUGUCUUAGAAUUCUGACCUUUGGUAUACAAUCAGUUUGUCUCUUAUUUGUUAAAAGUUGUAUUAAGUGAUGACCUUUAAAUGUUUGUUAUACUUUGGUUUUCUUCCUUAAGAAUUGACUUCAAUUAUGUGUUUAUUAAUAGAUCUCUUUUUUCAAGACUUUUAAAAUUUUGUUCUAAUUAGUUACAUAUGACAGUAGAAUGAACUUUGAUACAUCGUACAUAAAUGGGGUAUAAUUUCUCAUUCUUGUGGUUGUACAUGAUGUAGAAUCACACUGGUCGUGUAGUCAUAUAUGUACAUCGGCUAAUAAUGUCAGAUUUAUUCUUCUAUCCUUCCUGUCCGCAUACCCCAUUAGAUCUAUUUUUGACUGUCUUUAAUAUUCUUUUGCUCUCUCAUUCUUUUCUUAAAAUUUCACUUGCUGUAUUUGUUUUUCUUGUUUUAUACUCUAUAUACUCUAUUGUGCUCCCACUCGGUUCUCUAUUGUGUUUUUAAAAAAAAUUUUUCCCUGUUUUCUGCCCGCACACAUUUCAUUACUUUCUCUCGUGUCUUUAUCUCUUCCCUGAAUUCUACACUAUGGUGGUCCUUCAGAAAUGCAAUUUCUUCCAUAAGUUUUUAUAUUUAAUUUUUUAAAUGCUUGGUAAUAAUAUUUAUCAGUGCAAUGGCCACAUUUUUGUGGUGGUGGUCUUUGUAUUUAGUUCUGUUGUUUUUUUCUUCAAUUUGAUUUGUUUCUGGUUUUUGCUAUCAAUACUUUCAUGUUCAUACUAUGCUAGUCUUUAAAUGUUCCUUUUUAAUUAGUUUAAUGAGUUGGACUUUCUUAGACUUGAAACACGCCGUAGAUGCCUGGGUGAGGAGUUGGGAUAUGGGAUUAAGGCGCCCUCAGGUUUUUACGACCCAUGGAGACUGGUUUUAGUGAGCAAUGACUCAUGUGUAUAAUAAAUACUUCAGGUAGCUGUACCUCCUCUGCUUCUUUGAACCAAACCAGGCCAGGGAGACUUCUGCCUCUAGCCUUCUUCACUUCUUUUCAGCAUUCACAAGUAAAAAUGAAGGUUAAAGCACUGUACUUCAGAGUGAUACUCACCUUCAGAGAGCAUCUUUUGGCCAACACUUUAUGAGAUGCUGCUUGUGGUCUUAUUAUGCUAUAUAUUUUUUUCUUGUGCAAUUUUUGCCCAGUCUCAGCUGUUUGCUCUUCUUCUUAUGUUGUAGGCAGUGGAAUUUGCUGAAAGUUGAAUUUGUUGGAAGAGUUAUUUUCCCUCAUUUUCCUGAUUGUUCUUCUAUAAUUUCCAGGAAACAAGAGAAAGAUAUAGACAUGCAGCCAUGUUUGUACUUGAAGUAAGAGUGUUGGUUUGAAUCUGAAAUCUUGCCCCCACAAAAAUUCAUGCUUUGAAACAUGGUCCCUAGUGCAGCAAGAUUCAGAGGUAGGGCUUUUAGUAAAAGAUGGGUGAUGAGAGCUGUGAUCUCAUCAGUGGUUAAUUCAUUUGCUGGAUUAAUAAUCUGAAUGGAUUACUGGAUAGUAACAGUAGGAAGGUGGGACAUGCCUGGAGAAAGGAGGUCACUGGAGACAUGGCCUUAGACUAUUUCUGUCCUUGGCCCCUUCUCUCUCUCUCUCUCUCUCUCUCUCUCUCUCUCUCUCUCUCUCUCUCUGCUUCCUGGCUGCAAUGAGCUGAGCAGCUGUCCUCUGCCAUGCCUUUCCACUAUGGAGUUCUGUAUCAAGUCAGGCCCAGAGCAAUGGAUUGAAACCUCUGAAACCCUAAGCCAAAAUAAACUUUUCCUUCUCUAAGUUGCUCUUCUCAGGGAUUUUGGGAACAGUGAUAUAAAGCUAAUACAGAGAAGUAUUGUUUUAAAUAUUAAUAAAUAAAGAUGCCACUGUAUUAUAAAGUUCUUCUGCAUUUGCUUUUUUUUUUUUUCUUUCUCUUUGGUUUUACAUUUAAAGUGCUCCCCGGUAGAGUUCCAAAUUCAUUCCACUUGACCUCUUAUAUUUAUGCCUCUAUUAAAUUGUACAGAAUGAUCUAGUUACCUCAAUAGCAGCUACUGUUGCCCUGAACGUUUAUUUACUUUGUUCAAUAGUGCACAUUUCUGUUCCCCAUGCCACUCCUUCUUCACCUCCAAGUGUUUUUGUUAUUAUUAUUAUUGUUAUUAUUAUUAUUUAAAUCCUAUCUGGAUUUUAAGACCUACAUAAUAGUAACUAAUUCUUAAAACUUUUUACCUGAUCUCUAUAUAAUCUCUUUACAGGAUCAUGCAUAAUUUAUGUUCCUAUAUUCUCUUGAAACUAUAUCUAUUGUAUAUGGUAUUUUGGUUACACGGGUAUUGCUUCUACAUUCUACCAGUUAGAAAAAUGCCCGUAACUUAGUCACAUUUGUGCCACACUUAUGCCUGAGCACAGAACAUUAUGCACAAUAUACAUUCAAUAAGCAUUCACUGAAAUGAUAAAAUUACGCAAAAGGCCAAAAUUAUUUCUUGAAUGGGUGGCACAAUUUCCUCCCACUUCUUGCUGAUGAACAAUAUACCCAUUCAUAGGGGUAAUUUGGCUCUUUUUUUCUGAAGCCACAGAACCCUGCAGAUCAAAGUAUUUUAUAAGGAUGUGAUUGCAGAUGCAUGGGUUUAGUCAUGCAGAUAGUCAAACUGUGUUUUGAUUAUUUUAAUUGUCUUAUUUCAAUACAGAAUAAUUUGUUCUUGGCUUUUUACAAGUCCUUGAUAACUGUUAAGUAGAUUAAAAAACAAAACUGAAAAGCACACACUCCUUUUUGUCUCUACUCUUAACAGGCAGAUCUCCAUCAUGAUAGAAAUGCAUUAGUAGAACAAACUUUGUUAAAAAUUAACUUUUAAAUUUAAAUUGCAAUGAAACAAAUAGCAGAAACUCAGAGAACAUUUCCCCAAAUAUACUGUUGGUUUUAGAAACACUCGAUUGUUUUGAAAAAGAAAACUUGAGCAUUUUCUCCCCACCACUUCAUUGAAUUGGGUCUCUUACCAAAUGUAAUUUACAUGUCAUUUUCUUUAUCAUUUUGUAGCUUUGAAAGCUGUAUUUGUUGAAAAAAACCUGUUCCCCAAAGAAAUUCUGGAUCAUGAAAGAAAAGCCAAGCAAUUACAUCAGGAAACAAGUUGUGAAGUGAAGAUAAAGAGAAAUAAGAAGCAAUUAUAAUUGAAAGAAAAAUAAAUAUUUCAUUGUCAUAGAAAGUACACUCAUAAAAUGCAGAAAACACAUCAAGAAUUCUGCCUGUCUUUUACUUUAUAUUUGAACUUCUGAAGGCUUCAUUUUCUGAUGAUGUUUUAUUGCUGCUUUUAUCUGUCAUCUUUCACUUUGAAUGUAUUCUUAAUAUGAGAAAGUUUGGACUAGAGAAGGCGAAAUGUUCAUUGGUACUAUCUGUUCUCAAGCGUUUUUAUAUAAAAAAUGUACAAUUCCAGAACAAAGUAUUUUAAUCAGUUGUAUUCCUAAUUGCCUGUAUACAUAAAUGUGUUUGGUCAUUUUUUUAUUAUAAAACCUCCAUUAAAACAUAUGGAAGCUAUUGACACACAUCUACAAAUUUGAAUAAGAAAACUGUUCCCAGUUUUUACACUUUCUGGAUUAUUUUUCUGAAAAUGGCAAUUAGAUCUUAUCAAUAACAGUCUCUCCUCUUAAUUCUUUAAAAAUAUAUUUUAUUUUAGCCAUACAAAUUUAUGGCAUACAGUGUCAUAAUUUGAUAUGUAUAUACAGCAUUUAAUGAUCAAAUGGAAUUGUUAACAUUAACAUCUCUUUACACACUUAAAAUUGUUUUGAUUAACAUGUAUAGUUGGGUGUGAUGAUACAGUUCUGUAAUAUCAGUGACUUGGGAGGCUGAAGUGGGAGGAUUACAAGUUCAAGACCAGCCUUUCCAAUUUGGGGAGACCCUAUCUCAAAAUUUAAAAAAAAAAAUGGGCUAAGGAUUAGUUCAGUGAUAGAAUGCCAGAGUACCCUUGGGUUUGAUCUUCUGUAAUACAAACAAAUUCAAUAAUUAUACAAAUUUAUGGCAUAUAGUCUGAUAUUUAGAUAUAUGUAU